rnacentral:tRNA from 1 species
GGCCUCGUAGCUCAGGGGAUAGAGCAGCAGCCUUCUAAGCUGUUGGUCGCAGGUUCGAAUCCUGCCGAGGUCACCA